rnacentral:rRNA from 1 species
GAUGAACGCUAGCUACAGGCUUAACACAUGCAAGUCGAGGGGAAACGGCAUUGAGUGCUUGCACUCUUUGGACGUCGACCGGCGCACGGGUGAGUAACGCGUAUCCAACCUUCCCAUUACUGUGGGAUAACCUGCCGAAAGGCAGACUAAUACCGCAUAGUCUUCGAUGACGGCAUCAGAUUUGAAGUAAAGAUUUAUCGGUAAUGGAUGGGGAUGCGUCUGAUUAGCUUGUUGGCGGGGUAACGGCCCACCAAGGCUACGAUCAGUAGGGGUUCUGAGAGGAAGGUCCCCCACAUUGGAACUGAGACACGGUCCAAACUCCUACGGGAGGCAGCAGUGAGGAAUAGUGGUCAAUGGACGGAAGUCUGAACCAGCCAAGUAGCGUGCAGGAUGACGGCCCUAUGGGUUGUAAACUGCUUUUGUAUGGGGAUAAAGUUAGGGACGUGUCCCUAUUUGCAGGUACCAUAAGAAUAAGGACCGGCUAAUUCCGUG